AAGCAUGGCACACUGGACGGGCAUCCUGCUUCUUUUUAAAGAGCAUGGAUUUAUCCGUAACAUGCCACAUUAAUGAAAUGAGUUUUCAGGGCUGCCAACCUCUUGGUUAAGGUUCUGCACGGUAUAUUUCUCCUACAAUA
ensembl:snoRNA